UUCAUCAUCUUCUUCAAUCAAAUCACUACUCCCUUCAAUGUUAUCAUCAGUUAUCUAACUCAAUCGUUCCUUCUUCAAUUCGAUUAUCAGAUUCUUUAAUUCAAUUGUUCCUCCUUCAAUGACCCUGUCCUUUUGCAGGUGAUUCGUGGUGGAUAAAGAGAAGGCCCAACAACGGUGGCUUUAGGGUUCCAUCGCAAGUCAGUCUGGGGGUUGUUAGGAUUCCAGCAGAUGAAUCCUCUGGUCAACUAUGGUGAAGGUACAAUUUCUAGUAAAAGGACUUGAGGUUUGGCAGUUACUACUACGAUGGCUAUUGAUGGUGACCACUUUGGUUUGGUGGUUGAUUGACUCAGAUGGUGCUGUAUUUGAAUUUUGUAGAACUGUGUAUGUUCCUUUGAGCUCUCAUGUCCAUACCCGGGUUACAAUUACUUGAGCUAUAAUAGCAUGAGCAGAAAUCACCAUAUAUAUUAAGUUAAAACAAUCAAGAUAUCGUCCUGCUUCCGUUGAAAAUGGAUUCCCUUUAUGUUAGAGACAAAAAUGUUUAGGGGAGAAUUUACAAAGUAUUAUGUUCAACCAUAUCUUGGGCAGUCUGGUGUUGGUGGUUCUAUGGCUGGAUAUGGAGCUGAAAAUCCAGAUGAUUGAAGCAUUAGAAUGGAGGUUGUUGUGGUCCAAGAGAAGCACUGAGCACCUGAGCUUGCUGGACUUUGGAUGUUACCAAUUGGGUCCAUUCUUGAGGUGUGCACGAAUACAUACACACACAAAUUGGGUCCAUUUAGGGACAGAUCUCCUCCACCCUAUAACGACUCAAGGAAUCCAAGCCCAGGUCCUGAAAGGGUAAAACUGCCGCCAAUGAGCCGAAGCCCAAGCAGAAGCGGAAGCCAUGAUUCAUGCGACUACUCGAGAGGCAAACUAGACAAGGAUGCUUCGGUUACCCCUGAGUCGGUACCUGAGUGAUUUAGGUGCCAAAAGGACUGUUGUAUUUCUAACCUGAAUAUUAUGGUUGUUGGUAGUAGACAAUUGUUUUGGUACUUAUAACCUGAAUAUUAUGGUUGUGCAACUGUUAGUUGUUUUACUUUGUAUCAACAUGUUUGGAUUUUUGAUUCAUGUUUUAAAAUGUGGAAAACACAAGUUUUUGUGA